CAUCCAAACUGUGACCUUAUAAAACCUUAUCCAUUCCCCAUGGCUCAUACAGCUCCGUGAGAAAACAUUUCAAACUUCACUGGUUCGCUUGCUCACUCCGAACCCUGAAAAUCUAUUCGGGUCGGGUUAGCCCGAAACAUGGCGGCCACUUGCUUCUUGAGUAUACGACCCUCUUCGUCUUCCUCGUUAAUCGCCACCCACCACAGAGCUUCAGCCCCUUCUUCAAAACGACCCGUUUCAUGCCCGUCGUCCCAUUACUCCUUUUCUGCGCCAAUCCGGCUUCUCCUCCGCGAAAACACGGUUCCGACGCCGGAGGAGGAUCUGGACGACUACGGUUACGGCUUCAACUUCUACGACCGCAAGCCUUUUGGAACUGUUUUAUCUGCUGAGACAUUGUGUUGCAACGUGACAACCCAAAUCCAGCCGAGAAAGCCAACGAUUCGUGGAACCUUUUGGAAGCCGAAAACCAUGGUGGCUAGUAUACUCGUACUCGGGGUGGGCUUGGCCCUGACUCCUGUGGGACCUGCUUCAGCUGUCGAGUUGCCGAUUUUGGGUUCUCUGCAGCUUAGUGAGCCCUCCAACGCGCUCUCUCUUCCCACGUGGGCUGUACAUGUUUCCAGUGUGAUUGAAUGGAUUACAGCUAUGGUUUUGGUGUGGCAAUAUGGGGAAAAAUCCGGGAAUGAGUCCUGGAAAGGGCUUUCUUGGGGUAUGGUACCCUUGCUUGGUGGAGCAUUUUGUGCAUGUACAUGGCAUUUCUUUUAUAACUCUGAGUCUCUCGAGGUAUUGGUCGCUCUUCAAGCAGCCUUAACGGCUAUAGGCAACGCCACAUUGUGUUACGCUGCAUUCCGUAUAUGCAAAGCAUCAGAAGAAAGAUCCAAGAAUAAUCUUUGAAGUUCUUGCAUUUGUCUGUUUACCAAAAGAAAAAAGAAUUGAUUUGGUGAAUAUCUAUCUCCCACUUGACGAAAAAAGGACAAAUGAGGAAGCUUCCUCGUUUUGAUGUGAACAUUGAACAGGCGGCUGUCUAGAGAUUUAGAGGGAGGUUUUAUGAUCCCCUCUUGAAGGAGACACCUUUCUUCUUCUUCUCUUUUUUAACACUUGUGAUCUUGGUAGCUUUUAAAGUAGGAAGAUUGGUCUGAGCCUCUCAGAUUGGGUUAACAUGUAUCAUUGUGUCAUUUAUACUUUUGUUAAUAGUAAUAAACAGCUUCUUCUCUAAUUCCAUGAAUUUUAUUAUGGCCGUAUGAGAGCUGUAGUCGUUGUGGUUUAUGUAGAGUAAAACCUCUAUAAACAAAUAUUGUUGGGUGGGAUUAUGAGAAAAUAUUAUU